UACGGGGGGGGGCAAGCGUUGUUCGGAAUUACUGGGCGUAAAGGGCUCGUAGGCGGCCAACUAAGUCGGAUGUGAAAUCCCCAGGCUUAACCUGGGAACUGCAUCCGAUACUGGAUGGCUUGAAUCCGGGAGAGGGAUGCAGAAUUCCAGGUGUAGCGGUGAAAUGCGUAGAUAUCUGGAGGAAUACCGGUGGCGAAGGCGGCAUCCUGGACCGGCAUUGACGCUGAUGAGCGAAAGUGUGGGGAGCGAACAGG
rnacentral:rRNA from 1 species